rnacentral:tRNA from 1 species
AGGUGGUUAGCUCAGUGGUAGAGCCUCUGCCUUACAAGCAAAUAGUCACUGGUUCAAAUCCAGUACCACCUA